rnacentral:rRNA from 1 species
AUUACCUCAAGAACGGCGAGUGAAGCGGUAACAGCUCAAAUUUGAAAUCUGGCCUCACGGUCCGAAUUGUAAUUUGUAGAGGAUGUUUCGAGCAUGGUCUGGCCUAAGUUCCUUGGAACAGGACGUCAUAGAGGGUGAGAAUCCCGUAUGCGGUCAGGUGCCUACGCUCAUGUGAAACUCCUUCGACGAGUCGAGUUGUUUGGGAAUGCAGCUCAAAAUGGGUGGUAAAUUUCAUCUAAAGCUAAAUAUUGGCCAGAGACCGAUAGCGCACAAGUAGAGUGAUCGAAAGAUGAAAAGCACUUUGGAAAGAGAGUUAAACAGUACGUGAAAUUGUUGAAAGGGAAGCGCUUGCAACCAGACUUGCACGCAGCUAAUCAUCCGGUGUUCUCACCGGUGCACUUGGUUGCGUUCAGGCCAGCAUCGGUUUCGGCGGUGGGAUAAAGGCCUUAGGAAUGUAGCUGCUCUCGGGCAGUGUUAUAGCCUAGGGUGCAAUGCCGCCUGCUGGGACCGAGGACCGCGCUUCGGCUAGGAUGCUGGCGUAAUGGUUGUAAGCGG